AGCUCCAAUAGCGUAUAUUAAAGUUGUUGCGGUUAAAAAGCUCGUAGUUGGAUUUCUGUUAGGGCAGACCGGUCCGCACUAUGUGCGUGUAUCUGGUUCGGCCUUGGCAUCCUCCUGGGGAACGGUGCUGCGCUUGAUUGCGUGGUCCGGUAUUCAGGACUUUUACUUUGAGGAAAUUAGAGUGUUUACGGCAGGCAAUCGCCUUGAAUACAUUAGCAUGGAAUAAUACUAUAGGACCUUGGUUCUAUUUUGUUGGUUUCUAGAACUAAGGUAAUGAUUAAUAGGGAUAAUUGGGGGCAUUCGUAUUAACACGUCAGAGGUGAAAUUCUUGGAUUGUGUUACGACGAACUACUGCGAAAGCAUUUGCCAAGGAUGUUUUCA
rnacentral:rRNA from 1 species